AGUGAACGCUGGCGGUAGGCCUAACACAUGCAAGUCGAACGGCAGCACAGUAAGAGCUUGCUCUUACGGGUGGCGAGUGGCGGACGGGUGAGGAAUACAUCGGAAUCUACUUUUUCGUGGGGGAUAACGCAGGGAAACUUACGCUAAUACCGCAUACGACCUACGGGUGAAAGCAGGGGAUCUUCGGACCUUGCGCGAUUGAAUGAGCCGAUGUCGGAUUAGCUAGUUGGCGGGGUAAAGGCCCACCAAGGCGACGAUCCGUAGCUGGUCUGAGAGGAUGAUCAGCCACACUGGAACUGAGACACGGUCCAGACUCCUAUGGGAGGCAGCAGUGGGGAAUAUUGGACAAUGGGCGCAAGCCUGAUCCAGCCAUACCGCGUGGGUGAAGAAGGCCUUCGGGUUGUAAAGCCCUUUUGUUGGGAAAGAAAAGCAGCAGGUUAAUACCCCGCUGUUCUGACGGUACCCAAAGAAUAAGCACCGGCUAACUUCGUG
rnacentral:rRNA from 1 species